AAAGAAACAAGAAAAACGAAAGCGAAAGCGCCAUCGAAAAAUUCGAGGGAAACGACGAAUUAUUGGCCCAAAUGGAGAAGUUAUCUAUGAGGAGAGUGAUCCGGGUGAUGGCAGUGAUACAGAUUAUUCUGAUGAUUUUGAGGAAGAUGAAGAUGCGGAUGAAAAAGGCAAGAGCAGAAGACUUAAAAGAAAAGUUAGAACAUACACUAGACAACGAAUAGGACCAGAUGGAAAAGUGAUCACGGAGGAGGUAGAGAGCGAGUGCUAUGAGACAGACUCGGACGGUUCCGUGGAGUCGUGGCAACUAGAUCCAAUCCGGGUCCAAAUCCACGAGGCAAGAGAACAACGUAAACAGAUGCUC